CUUGGACCCCCAAACCGGCUUGCUGUUGAUAACGUCUUGCAUGUUGAUACGCCUAAUGCGGACUUGACCCCCAGUAGGGUCUGCAGAUUGCAUACAGAUUACGUUCGGGUCUUAGUCAAAGUGUCCCAAGCUUCGUCUUGGAAGACGCCCACCUUGUUAAGCGCAAGCUAGUAACAGCCCGACGACCGUUUGUUAUCUCUUCCAGAAUGGCAUCCGAUGGUGCCCUGGAUGUGGAUGUGCAUGGGCCGGACAAGGUAAGAACGGGGUUGGAGUGCGUCUGACUGAAGAACUGGCAGGGUGCACCAAUGGUGCACUCUUCUCACAUUUACACCAAGUCGCGUUCCAUGCCUGUUCUAUGCCCAAUGGUGUUAACCUUCUGCAGAAGCGUCAAAAGCUGGCAAAAUCGGCGGGGUUGGGCUUCGCCAGGGACAUGGCCGAAGUCCUCGUGGAAACGCUUGGGAUGGACCCCAUCGGGCAAUCGACCGAUGCCGCCAUCGCCAAAACAUUGUCUGAAGAAGGCUUGGUGGACUUGGCGUCAGUGAAGACCGUGGCUGGCGGUAAGAACCACUUCAGCCUAAAUUG
rnacentral:lncRNA from 1 species